GACGAACGCUGGCGGCGUGCCUAAUACAUGCAAGUCGAACGCACUCUCGUUUAGAUUGAAGGAGCUUGCUCCUGAUUGAUAAACAUUUGAGUGAGUGGCGGACGGGUGAGUAACACGUGGGUAACCUGCCCUAAAGUGGGGGAUAACAUUUGGAAACAGAUGCUAAUACCGCAUAAAACCUAACACCGCAUGGUGUAGGGUUGAAAGAUGGUUUCGGCUAUCACUUUAGGAUGGACCCGCGGUGCAUUAGUUAGUUGGUGAGGUAAAGGCUCACCAAGACCGUGAUGCAUAGCCGACCUGAGAGGGUAAUCGGCCACACUGGGACUGAGACACGGCCCAGACUCCUACGGGAGGCAGCAGUAGGGAAUCUUCCACAAUGGACGAAAGUCUGAUGGAGCAACGCCGCGUGAGUGAAGAAGGUUUUCGGAUCGUAAAACUCUGUUGUUGGAGAAGAAUGUAUCUGAUAGUAACUGAUC
rnacentral:rRNA from 1 species